GGAAGGAUCAUUAACCAGUCCGGAUAACGGAAAAAGGCACGCGGGGGGAGAUCCGUCGCCAGCGGCUGCGACUCCCGCUGUCCUGUCCCGCCCACCCUCUCCGUGUACCUCUCCAUGUUGCUUUCCCGGGACGGUUGGCCCAGCCUGCCCGGUGGUGGGCUCCUCGUUUCCCCGUCUGUUGGGGUGCUGAGGUGCCCGCGGCCGAGUUUCCCGGGGAAGGUACCCUUCACAAAUCCCCUGCAGCAACCUGUCUGACACAGGCCCAUGGCCAUUGCUACAUAAUUACAUAAAACUUUCAACAACGGAUCUCUUGGUUCUCGCAUCGAUGAAGAACGCAGCGAAAUGCGAUAAGUAAUGUGAAUUGCAGAAUUCCGUGAAUCAUCGAAUCUUUGAACGCACAUUGCGCCCUCUGGCAUUCCUCAGGGCAUGCCUGUUCGAGCGUCACAGAAAGCCCCCCCUCACACACAAGCUGUGGUGAUGUCGUUGGUGAGCCUCAACCGGCUCCACCACGUCCAAAUCCAUGGGCGGACAACUGAUCUCAGCAGCUGACUUAGUAAGAUAGAGUUCAUCUGCAGUACUUGCUGUCAGAAGGAACAUCAGUCAGGAGCUAGGUUACGUCCCGUCCCCGCCUCAUUGGAACCCCCCCAUGAAAUUAUCUUUGGGUUGACCUCGGAUCAGGUAGGGAUACCCGCUGAACUUAAGCAUAUCAAUAAGCGGAGGAAAAGAAACCAACAGGGAUUGCCUCAGUAACGGCGAGUGAAGCGGCAAAAGCUCAAAUUUGAAAUCUGGCGCCUGCGGUGUCCGAGUUGUAAUUUGGAGAGGCGUCUUCUGGUGGGACCCAGCCUAUCUUCCUUGGAACAGGAGGUCACAGAGGGUGAGAAUCCCGUUCUCGGCUGGAUGCUCCCACCUGUAUGUAGUGCCUUCAACGAGUC
rnacentral:rRNA from 1 species